rnacentral:rRNA from 1 species
UACGGGGGGGGCAAGCGUUGUUCGGAAUUACUGGGCGUAAAGGGCUCGUAGGCGGCCAACUAAGUCAGACGUGAAAUCCCCAGGCUUAACCUGGGAACUGCGUCUGAUACUGGAUGGCUUGAAUUCGGGAGAGGGAUGCAGAAUUCCAGGUGUAGCGGUGAAAUGCGUAGAUAUCUGGAGGAAUACCGGUGGCGAAAGCGGCUUACUGGAUCUCUUCUGACGCUGAGGCACGAAAGCUAGGGUAGCGAACGGG